CAUUUUGUUAGAAUAGUAAAAAUGUCACCUUGAGGUAUGAAAUCAGAGGCCCUUUUAUAGAGAGGCUCUUCUCUAGCUGAGGUUACUGAGUGCUGCUAAGAACAGUCAAUAGGAGAAAGUCAGUACUCACCAGUCAGUAUAGACUUUCCUUUGAUCAGGUUUUGUUUAAAAACCCAGGCCCUCUCAUUUAACUUCCCCACCAAAUACAUACCUUCUUUCUCACAGAACUGGGGUGACUUGAACCAGUUCUAGCCAGACUGUACAGACUUCUAAUCAGCUCCCUGAUCUUCUCUCAGUCCCCUCCCACUGAGGUGGUAGCUCCACUCUGUGAGCCUUUCUGCAGUUGCUUUACCCCCACUUCCCUCUGAAGUCCUGGGAAAUCAACAUGUGGCCUUGCACAUGGAGAUUUUAUUUUGAUAUAGGAUCUAAGUUGCCCAACUGGUCUUGAGUUUGUCAUCCCUUUGCCUCAACCCCCAGGACAGUUUGGGAACACAGGCCAAUACCACCAUACCUCAAUGCUUUACUCUGACAGCCCUCUUCCGCUCCACUUAGAUCCUGUCUUUUUUUUUUUUCCAGUAAGACUGCAUUAACACUGUUGUCUUCGGGCUUGAUAGCUUUUGUAUUUCCUCAAUUUAAACAGUGUUCACAGAAAACAAACCUAUUUAAGUGUUCUUGCGUUGAACCAAAAUCCCCUUUGAGGUGUGUUUGUUUUUUAAAUUGAGAAUUUGAGCUGGUGAGAUGGCUCAGCAAGUGUUUGCCACCAAGCUUCACAAAAUGGCCAGAGUCCAAUCUCCAGAAUACACAUGGUGGAAGGACAGAACCAACUUCUGAAAGCUGUCCUCUGAUGUACACACAAAUAUAUGUGCAUAAACACGAAUGUUACACAACUAUUUUAAAAAUCAAUGAUAUAACUAUAGACUAUUUAAUGUGAAAAAAAUGUUCAUAAUAUAUUUUCCCCCAAAAUCUUUGGUUUUCCUGAUUGAAAUGAAAAAAUAUAUUUUAGGGCUUUGUUUUGUUUUUUGCAAAAAGUAACAAACAUAUGGUCAUUUGAUGGUAAUCCAACUCAUAAGCAAGUAAUCCCCUCAGAAUCCUGACCUCCAAACAGGCUGGCUUCUGCUUCUCUAUCAAAUGUACUGUUUACUGACUCCAUAAUCAUUACCAUGAGGGAGAACACAUGUUAGCACUACGAUAUUAACAGGCAUUAACUCUGGGCAGAGGAAUUCAUGGCUUCUCUUUUUCCAGUGUGUUCUCAUGUUUCUGUGUGUAUGCAGGGGUGGGUGACAGAGGACAAAUUUCAGGAGAUGCUGCUCUCAUUCCACCAUGUGGAACCUGGAGCCUGAACUGAGGUAGUCAGGCUCACUGCCAUGCCCUCUUCCCACCAGCAACCUCACACACCACUUUCUAACAUUUCUAACUAAACACACUAGUUUAAUUUUCGAACAAUUUUAGGAAAAAACUCAUAAUCGAAAAAAAUAACUGUGUGUGUGAGAGCACAUGCCUGUAACUGCCCUGGAACUAGUCUCACAGCGGUUGUGAGCUGCCCUUCAUGGAUGCUGGGCAUCAAAGUGGCUCUCUGUAAGAGCAAGAAAUACUCCUAACCACUGAAUCAUCUUCCCACCCACAAAAAAAUCCUCAUAAUUAGAAAUUUAAGGUCUCAUACUUAAAAUACACAUUAGUUAGUCCAACUUGAUUUUGCGAAUUUUCAUUUAAAAAACCCUCAAGAUGUAGUUAAAGGUCCUGAUGUUUACAAGUAAAACCUCUUAAAAUUCUGUUCUUGCUAAUGGGUAAAUAUCAUUUAAGUAUAAUGUUUCUAUCAGUUACAUAAUUUAUGUUAAGCCAGGCAAGGAUAUAUGCCAUAAUUAAUAAACGGGCAUCCUUCUGAUUUUUUUCCUUUGCCCAUUAUUUAACUGGUUGGUUUGAAAAUGUCUGACUUGGUAGUCCUAUGUGGCUUCCAGGCCUUCCAAAGUUUUUCGCCCCCCAAACUUCAUGAUUCUUGUCUGCUCUGUGAAAUUAUAUAUAGUUUUAUGUCAAACUUACCACUCAAUCCCUAUGGAGUUUUUUAGUCAAGACAAUGCAUUUACAUUGCUUUACUUCAAUUUUUUUCUGCUAGGGACUAAACACUGAGCCUGUAAACAUGACUAUAGACAACUGUCACUUAGCUGACUCUCCUGAGCUGCAGACUACACCUUACAUUCUACAUUCACAGUCCAUGUUCCCAAACUUCAGCCAGGCGUGGCGGCACAAGGCGGGAAUUCUGCUCUGAGAAGCCGAGAAAACUAAGCUCCAGGCCAACCUGGGUUACAGAGUAAACCCAGUUUCUAAAACAAAUCUCCUAUCAGCUCUUCUACUCAAAUGUCCUGCUAAUGCCUCAAAACCAAAAUCCAUUCGUUUCAACACACAUCAUUCCAAAUUGGUUAUCAACCUUCAUCCCAAACAGGUUUGUUCUAUUUGGUUUUCCAAUAGAGUGAUUGGCCGAGGUGUCUCCAUACUCAGCGUCUGGGUCUGGAGGAUGGCCGUUUUGUCCCGAUGCUCCUCACUCUUCCUCAAGGGCUAGCCUGAGCCUUCUUUCUGCAGAACCUGGCCUCGUCUCCCUCCACCUCCCAUCCUAGGGCUCUGAGGAAAGCCUCGCUUGCCCCUGGGUCCUACCAACCAGGAGCACGAACGCGCCUUGCGAACUCGCGUCAGCACUGCCCUAGACCUUCAGUCAGGGUACAGAUCACCUCGCCCACUAGCGCUGAGCGCACCGGGCUGGACCGCCUCUGCACACGCGCACAGCGGCAGGGCCGCUCUAGGCACGCAGCGCGGUCCUGUCUCGUUGGUACCGGCGCUGACGGCGCCCGCCCUGUACGCUGGAGCGGGAGGCUGUCCUGCGUGCUGUUCCCACGCUCUUCUCCACACCUCCGCAAUAAAGGCGCGGGCGGCGCGCACUCCAGCGGGAAGAGGGAUCGCACUUCCUCAGAAGGCUAGAGGUCCCUCCCUCAGCCGUCACGGCUCCCCCCCAUCCCCCGUGGCCCUUAAUCCCCUGGUGCGGGGGCUUGUUUCUAAGGCGCUGAGCCCUUCACCUUUCCGGAGCCCGGCAUGGUGCUGGCAACGCCUCUCUCAUCGCCUCGUUUUAAAAAUAAUGCGUUAAAAAAAUUCAGUUUGCUAUGCGAACAGCAUUCCAACAGUACACAAUUAUAUCCGAAAUAGUUAAGCAAUAAAAGAAAAAAAAAAUGACGGGCGUUGUUGAGGCAGGAGGAUUACUGCGAAUUCUACUCCACCUUGGGCUACAUACCGAGAUUGUGUCAAAAACCACGGAGUGGGGGAAAUUAAGUGAAGUAAUCGUCUACGUUGGGAACCAAAGGUAUAGUCAAGAUUCCAAGAAAAUGCCCCAAUGUGUGCUGCUUCUAGGAUCCUAGAGAUCCAAAGACUCCUGCAUCCUUCCACAAACCUUUUACAUCACCUGAGAUCUACAUAACUGUGUUUAUGACAGCAACAGCUCCACUUCUAAGUACCAACUUGUCAGAACACGAAAGAAUGGAGUCGUAUGAAGAUAUUAGUGCUUGUGAGGAAACGCCAAGAAAACGCGAGCCUUGUGAUCUCAGUUCCUUCAAACAUGGCGCCAUUCUUAGAAUGUGCGUUCAUGCUUCUCCCAGAUGUAGCCCGUAGAGUGGGUUCGCUUCAGAUUACUCAUUAAACUGCCUAUUGUUAUUUGCUUAUAUGCCUUUAUGGAAAACAUGUUUUUGCCAUGUGCAAUUUGUCCUUGUGAUUGCACACUUUACCAUGUGACUCCUCUGAACACUCAGAGUAUAAAUUGAAUGGUUCUCUGAAGAAAGCUGGCUAUUGGAUGAGACUUUAGUGUGCCUCAUUUAUCAGCUGCACUCUCUCAGGUCCCAUCACCUCCGGGGCAGCGACACCAGCUUUCUGUCUAGUUACUUGCUUUAUUGCCAUGAAAAGAGAGCCAAAGCAACAGAAGGAGUAAAGGAUUUCCUGUGCUUUCUGUUUUACUGAAAGUUCACCAUGGGGGUGAAGCCAUGGCAGCAGAGCAGGAGUGUACUGCAUCUGUGUGCAAGGAGCAGAGAGAGAUGAAGGCUCACCAUGGAGGUGAAGGCAGUGGGGCAGGAGGAGCACUGCAUCUGUGUGCAGGGAGCAGAGAGAGAUGAAGGCUCACCAUGGAGGUGAAGGCAGUGGGGCAGGAGGAGCACUGCAUCUGUGUGCAGGGAGCAGAGAGAGAUGAAAGCUCACCAUGGAGGUGAAGGCAGUGGGGCAGGAGGAGCACUGCAUCUGUGUGCAGGGAGCAGAGAGAGAUGAAGGCUCACCAUGGAGGUGAAGGCAGUGGGGCAGGAGGCGCACUGCAUCUGUGUGCAGGGAGCAGAGAGAGAUGAAGGAAUGCUGAUGUUUAGCUUUCUUCUUUUUAUUUAUUGUAGAAACCCUGCUUUUGCCCACAUUUAGAUGGGCUUUUCCCACCUCAGUAACUCAGCAUAGACACUUCCUAACAUAAUGUCCAUGGCCUUCCCUUCUAGGUGUUUUAGAUUUUGUCAAGUUGGUGACGUUAAUCAUCAAGAAUUGUAUUAAAAUUCCAGAUCAUGGAAAAUGGAUGUUAUGUAAAUUAAUUUUAUUUUUGCAAUACUAAUGAUUGAUCCCAGAGUCUUGCAUGUGCUACCAAGUGCUGAACCACUGAGCUACACUCCCAAAGAAGAAACAGAUUCUUUAUAAAGGUAAUAUAGACAUCGGUUGUACCAAGUGCUUCAUUUGUGUUCGGUUGUUUAUAUGAGACACUGUGUCAUGUAGUCCAAGUGCCCAGGCCAUUGAACUUUUGACCCUCCUGCCUCAGACCUGCUAGUAUUAGAGGCUUAAGCCACCACACAAACUGAGCAGUGGUCUCUCUUAUGUUAAUUCAUUUAAUUCACAGAGCCUCACUGCUAUUGCUAACUUGACCGGACCCUCCCCACCUCUGUCAUGGGUAGCUGAAACAGAGGUUAUAGAAAACUGAUUCAAACUAAUUCAGUCUGAUUUUUCUCUCCCAGAAUUUAUAGGUAGGUUUAGUUAGUUUCAACCUAGAAAGGUAUGACACAGACAAACAGACCUUUGAGCCACACACAGUCGGAUGUGGGAAUCUUUGAAGGAGUGCACAGACUUACCCACGUCUCCAAAUAAACUGCUAAUUUAAGCCCACCCAAACCACCUCUGGCAUAAAACACUGGUUUUGCAAGUUUUCAAGUAGCAGUUUCUCCCCAUGUAUCCUAUAAAUUUCUUAUUUAAUUCAUUUGUUUCUUUUUUCCCUCUUUACAAUUGUAACUGCUUAUUCAUAGCCCCCUUUACGUCAAUCUGUAGAAAUUCUUUCAUCAGCUGAGACGGCAAACGUCAGUGGCGUAUAAAUGUGACAUCAGCCUUUGAAGUGCAUUCCAGAACAAUGUUUCCUAUUGGAUCGUUCCGUUCUAUAACUCAGUUUUGGUGGUGAUUCAUAUGAGGAUGACAGUGAUUCAUCUGAUUUCAGUGAGCCACAGGAUCUCAAAGAAGAACCUCACGUCCUACAGCCCAAUUUAAAAAGAAGUUCUCACAUCUGAGUAAGAGCAGUUACAUUCCAAUACAUUAAACAGAGCCAGGCAGAGUGACUCAUGCCUGGAGCCCCAGCAUCCCAGAGGCAGGAAGGUUAAGAGUUCAAGGCCAGCCUGCACUACAAAGACUACGGGCUCUGUCUCAAAAACAAACAAACAAACAAACAAACAAACACAAGCAGCAGUAACAACAACAACCACCACCACUAAAGCACACUUUGGAAUGAAGAAAGCCAUUUUCAAGAGGACUACUUUUUACUUAUAAGAUGGUAAUCAGUAGAGGACACAACUGAAUAAGGGUCUGCAAUAGAAGAGUCAACGUUGAAAGGAAAUUGAUAUUUCAUUAUUAAUGCGAGCACAUGAUUCUUUCCCAAAGUCUGUCUUACCAGACAGAUUUAAGAACACAAUUGCUGGGGUUUUAGACAUCAUAUAAUGUAUCACAUAAUCCAAUGCCGCCUACUGCAGAACCUCACUGGAGAUGGACCACCAUGUUCAAUAAAAAAAAUGUCAAGCAGAAACAAGUGUCAGCUCUAGCUAGAAGCAGUAAGGUCUAGAGAUAGUCACACACCUCUUCAGGUCAGGUUUGGUUUCUGAGUGAGAUUGUCAUGAACUUAGGAAAAUGUUUAGCUUUCUAGAGGUGGGGAGUUUUUUUUCGGGAUUUAGGUAAUGGCUUCAAGCUACACAUUUAAACUUCAGCAGUUAGUUUGCCUGGCCAGCUCUGGAGUCAGCUAAGAGUUUCUUUGAAGUCCUGCUUGUGCCAGACACCCCUGUGGUUUGGACUGUUUAGUCUGAAGGCAAAAAACACAGUUUCAGGGGAAGAAAAUACAGACUGUGAAGUAGUUAUCAAAAGUAAUGGGUCCAGUUCUGACCAGCUGCACCUCUGACCCUGUGGUCCAUUGCUACUCAUUGUGGGGGUUGGUUUAAAAGAGUUGCAGUUUAGAUUGUAAAACUUCCUAGUGGGUCCUUAGAUUUUUGCUAUAUAUUUUUCUUAAAAAGUUAUUACGUGUGUGUGUGUGUGUGCCUUUGUAUGUGCCUAUGUGAGUUUAUAGGCACCAUGUGAGUACAGGUGCCGACAGAGACCAGAAGAGAGUGUCAGGUGCUCUGAAGCUGAAGUUAUGGAGUGUGAGCCGUCUAAUGGGGGUACUGGAGACUGAACCUGGGUCCUCUGCAGGAACAGUGUGCAUGUUCAACCACUGAGCCAUCCCUCUUGCCCCUGGCCUAAUUUUUCUUAAACCUCUCAAUGAAACAA